rnacentral:rRNA from 3 species
UACGUAGGUGGCAAGCGUUAUCCGGAAUUAUUGGGCGUAAAGAGGGAGCAGGCGGCAGCAAGGGUCUGUGGUGAAAGACUGAAGCUUAACUUCAGUAAGCCAUAGAAACCGGGCAGCUAGAGUGCAGGAGAGGAUCGUGGAAUUCCAUGUGUAGCGGUGAAAUGCGUAGAUAUAUGGAGGAACACCAGUGGCGAAGGCGACGAUCUGGCCUGCAACUGACGCUCAGUCCCGAAAGCGUGGGGAGCAAAUAGG